UGCAGAAUCCCGCGAACCAUCGAGUUUUUGAACGCAAGUUGCGCCUGAGGCCUUCUGGCUGAGGGCACGCCUGCCUGGGCGUCACGC
rnacentral:rRNA from 1 species